rnacentral:rRNA from 1 species
UACGGAGGGUGCAGGCGUUGUUCGGAUUUAUUGGGCGUAAAGCGCGUGUAGGCGGUUUCUUAAGUCUGAUGUGAAAGCCCUGGGCUCAACCCAGGAAGUGCAUUGGAUACUGGGAGACUUGAAUACGGGAGAGGGUAGUGGAAUUCCUAGUGUAGGAGUGAAAUCCGUAGAUAUUAGGAGGAACACCGGUGGCGAAGGCGGCUCACUGGCCCGUUACCGACGCUCAGGCGCGACAGCGUGGGGAGCAAACAGG